rnacentral:rRNA from 1 species
GACGAACGCUGGCGGCGUGCUUAACACAUGCAAGUCGAACGGAAAGGCCCUGCUUUUGUGGGGUGCUCGAGUGGCGCACGGGUGCGUAACACGUGAGUAUCCUGCCCUUGACUUUGGGAUAAAUUCAGGAAACUGGGGCUAAUACCGUAUAGGAGCUCCUGCUGCUUGGUGGGGAUUGGAACGUUUAGGCGGUUGGGGAUGUACUCGCGGCUUAUCAGCUUGUUGGUGGGGUAGUGGCUUACCAAGGCAUUGACGGGUAGCCGGCCUGGGAGGGUGACAGGCCAAAUUGGGACUGCGAUCCGGCCCAGACUCCUACGGGAGACACCAGGGGGAAAUAUUGAACAAUGCGCGGAAGCCUGAUGCAUCAACGCCGCGUGCGGCAUGACGGCCUUAGGGUUGUAAACCGCUUUAGCCUGAGACGAAGCGUGAGUGACGGUAAUAGGUAAAGAAGCACCGGCUAACUCCGUG